rnacentral:pre_miRNA from 1 species
CUUCAUUUGAGUAUAUAUCGUUUGGCACUUAAGGAAUUGUCACUAGUGUUCUUUUUAAAGUUCGGUGACAAUACUAAAGAGUCAAGCGUUUCAACUCGAUUCGCUUCA